rnacentral:rRNA from 1 species
UACGAAGGGGGCUAGCGUUGUUCGGAAUUACUGGGCGUAAAGCGCGCGCAGGCGGCUAUCCAAGUCAGUGGUGAAAGCCCGGAGCUCAACUCCGGAACUGCCAUUGAAACUGUUUAGCUUGAGGACGAGAGAGGUGAGUGGAAUUCCCAGUGUAGAGGUGAAAUUCGUAGAUAUUGGGAAGAACACCGGUGGCGAAGGCGGCUAACUGGAUCGUAUCUGACGCUCAGGCGCGAUAGCGUGGGGAUCAAACAGG